rnacentral:lncRNA from 1 species
GAGGCAAGGAGAGGGUCCGGGAAGGAAAAGCAAAGGAGGAAUCGGGGAGGAAAAAAUGGAAAUUACGAAAGAGGAGAGAGGAAAAUUGCCGGUGUGGUUUAGGCAAGAAAAAAAAAAAAAAGAGGAAGGAAAAAAAAAAUCGUGAGAGGAGACGAAGCGGGGGCAGCCCCGGCUGGCAGCGGGGAGAGCCGAGCGCAGCCCAGCACCGGAUCCCAGCGGAUCCCCGCGGAUCCCGGCGUCCUUCGCCGCCCCUCUCCCUCUCAGCGGCACCGGCGAGGGCUCCAGGUGCCGGCGGGGGCGUCGCGGGAAGGUGCCGGAGCGCGGUGCCCGCCGCUCAUCCCCUCCUUCUUCCCUCCCUCCCUUCCCUUCCUUCCCUUCCCUCCGCGUCGCGGGGCUGGGGCUCCUCUCCCCUCAGCGCCGCGCUCCCGCCGAGUUUCGCCGCGGAGGGCGGAGGCGGCCCGGGGCAGCCGCCGCCGCCGCUCCCCGCCCUCUCGCUCCAUUGGCCGGGCGGCGGCGGGCAGGGCCGGCCCGCGGCACCUCCGCCCGCGGCGGGGGCGGCUGGGCGGGAGGGGGCGCCCAACGGCCGUGAGGGGCCGCGAGGGGACCGCGAGGGGACGUGGAGGGGCACCUGCCGCCGCCCCGGCCCGCUGAGGGAGGCCCGUCAUCGAUGUAUUGCUUCUCCCUGGCUCCCGUGCGCUGCUGAUGGCGUUGCUAAACACAGGAAGGGUGUGUGUGCGUGUGAGGGACGUGUUUGUGUGUUUGUGUCGAGGGCUCGCUUUAGCUUGACCACGAGGAGAUCACGUACGGGCUUGGGAAUAGGAUUGUACUUGCCGGCGGAGCCCGGUCGUUGUGGCUGGGCUGACGGUGGGACGAGAGCUGUGUUUAUCUGA